ensembl:snoRNA Gm23377 predicted gene, 23377
GCUGUCCCGGAUCUGUCAGCACCACAGGCACAGCUGCUGGGCUGUGUCUAUGACACUGGGGCAAAGAGCAAGUGUCUAUUUCUAUACCCAGUGUUCAGAAGCCAGUCAGCACUAAGAAUGGGCCUGACAUUU